UCCCUUGAAGACUAGUGGUUAGGCCUCAGCGCUCUCAGCGCUGCAGCCCGGGUUCAUAUCCCUGCCAGGGAA